rnacentral:rRNA from 1 species
AGAGUUUGAUCCCGGCUCAGAACGAACGCUGGCGGCGUGCCUAACACAUGCAAGUCGAACGGAAUUUGAGAGCUUGCUCUUAAAUUUAGUGGCGCACGGGUGAGUAACGCGUGGAUAAUCUGCCUGACGAUCUGGGAUAACAUCUCGAAAGGGGUGCUAAUACCGGAUAAGCCCACGGGAACUUCGGUUCUUGCGGGAAAAGGGGGGGACCUUCGGGCCUUCUGUCGUCAGAUGAGUCCGCGUACCAUUAGCUAGUUGGUAGGGUAAAGGCCUACCAAGGCUACGAUGGUUAGCUGGUUUGAGAGAAUGAUCAGCCACACUGGAACUGAGACACGGUCCAGACUCCUACGGGAGGCAGCAGUGGGGAAUUUUGCGCAAUGGGCGAAAGCCUGACGCAGCAACGCCGCGUGAGUGAUGAAGGCUUUCGGGUCGUAAAGCUCUGUCAGGGGGAAAGAAGUGUAUUGUGGCUAAUAUCCACGAUACUUGACGGUACCCCCAAAGGAAGCACCGGCUAACUCCGUGCCAGCAGCCGCGGUAAUACGGAGGGUGCGAGCGUUGUUCGGAAUUAUUGGGCGUAAAGCGCGUGUAGGCGGUUUGUUAAGUCUGAUGUGAAAGCCCCGGGGCUCAACCUGGGAAGUGCAUUGGAAACUGGCAGACUUGAAUACGGGAGAGGGUAGUGGAAUUCCUAGUGUAGGAAGUGAAAUCCGUAGAUAUUAGGAGGAACACCGGUGGCGAAAGCGGCUGCCCUGGACCGAUAUUGACGCUGAGGCGCGAAAAGCGUGGGUAGCAAACAGGAUUAGAUACCCCUGGUAGUCCACGCCGUAAACGAUGAGUACUAGGGGUUGCGGGUAUUGACCCCUGCCGUGGCCGCAGCUAACGCAUUAAGUACUCCGCCUGGGAAGUACGGUCGCAAGACUAAAACUCAAAUGAAUUGACGG